UAAUUUUUCGCAUAUUAGAAAAAAAAAAAAAUGUAGUAUGUUUUAAAAAGCCGAUUGUUUUGUUUCAUAGUAGUCAAGCUAUAUCAAAUAAAAGGAAAAAUCAAAGAAAACAAAACGUAAGUUUUAAAAGAGGGUUUAACAUUAGGAGUAAGGAAAAUAAUAUGAAUGUAAAUAGAUAUUCAACAACUAAUGUGAAUAAUAUAAAAGAUGGUGAUACAAAAUUUAGUAACAAAAAUGAAGAAAGUGAUUGUAAUAGAAAGCAAAGUAGGAACUUAAUGAAUGAAAUUUUUGAAAAAAAAAAAAAAAUAAUAGAUCAUGCCAAGUUAAAAGAAGAAAUAGUAAAAAAAAGUUUUUUAGAAUACAAUUUUAAAAUAGACAUAUAUUUAAAAUUAACUGCUUUGAAACUGUUUAAUCCAACACAAAUCCAAAAAAAUGUAAUACCGCUACUGUUACAGAAGAGUAAUGAAAAUACAGUUCAGCAAUAUAACACGCAUCGAAUGUAUGAAAAUAAAAAUAUAUACAAUGAAAUAUUAAAAAAUCGAAUGUAUAUUAAUACAUAUUUAAAUAACAAUUUAAACGCUACAAGUAAUUUUUAUGAAGUUGAUAAAUAUAUACAAGAAAAAAGUUAUGAGAGUAGUAAUGNNNNNNNNNNAAAAAAAAUGAUCAAGAGCUUAAUUUUUCGCAUAUUAGAAAAAAAAAAAAAUGUAGUAUGUUUUAAAAAGCCGAUUGUUUUGUUUCAUAGUAGUCAAGCUAUAUCAAAUAAAAGGAAAAAUCAAAGAAAACAAAACGUAAGUUUUAAAAGAGGGUUUAACAUUAGGAGUAAGGAAAAUAAUAUGAAUGUAAAUAGAUAUUCAACAACUAAUGUGAAUAAUAUAAAAGAUGGUGAUACAAAAUUUAGUAACAAAAAUGAAGAAAGUGAUUGUAAUAGAAAGCAAAGUAGGAACUUAAUGAAUGAAAUUUUUGAAAAAAAAAAAAAAAUAAUAGAUCAUGCCAAGUUAAAAGAAGAAAUAGUAAAAAAAAGUUUUUUAGAAUACAAUUUUAAAAUAGACAUAUAUUUAAAAUUAACUGCUUUGAAACUGUUUAAUCCAACACAAAUCCAAAAAAAUGUAAUACCGCUACUGUUACAGAAGAGUAAUGAAAAUACAGUUCAGCAAUAUAACACGCAUCGAAUGUAUGAAAAUAAAAAUAUAUACAAUGAAAUAUUAAAAAAUCGAAUGUAUAUUAAUACAUAUUUAAAUAACAAUUUAAACGCUACAAGUAAUUUUUAUGAAGUUGAUAAAUAUAUACAAGAAAA
rnacentral:lncRNA from 1 species